GACGAACGCUGGCGGCGUGCCUAAUACAUGCAAGUUGAGCGCUGAAGGUUGGUACUUGUACCAACUGGAUGAGCAGCGCACGGGUGAGUAACGCGUGGGGAAUCUGCCUUUGAGCGGGGGACAACAUUUGGAAACGAAUGCUAAUACCGCAUAAAAACUUUAAACACAAGUUUUAAGUUUGAAAGAUGCAAUUGCAUCACUCAAAGAUGAUCCCGCGUUGUAUUAGCUAGUUGGUGAGGUAAAGGCUCACCAAGGCGAUGAUACAUAGCCGACCUGAGAGGGUGAUCGGCCACAUUGGGACUGAGACACGGCCCAAACUCCUACGGGAGGCAGCAGUAGGGAAUCUUCGGCAAGAGACGAAAGUCUGACCGAGCAACGCCGCGGGAGGGAAGAAGGUUUUCGGAUCGUAAAACUCUGUUGGUAGAGAAGAACGUUGGUGAGAGUGGAAAGCUCAUCAAGUGACGGUAACUACCCAGAAAGGGACGGCUAACUACGUG
rnacentral:rRNA from 1 species